rnacentral:rRNA from 1 species
UCCUACGGGAGGCAGCAGUGGGGAAUUUUGGACAAUGGGCGAAAGCCUGAUCCAGCAAUGCCGCGUGUGUGAAGAAGGCCUUCGGGUUGUAAAGCACUUUUGUCCGGAAAGAAAUCCUUGGCUCUAAUACAGUCGGGGGAUGACGGUACCGGAAGAAUAAGCACCGGCUAACUACGUGCCAGCAGCCGCGGUAAUACGUAGGGUGCGAGCGUUAAUCGGAAUUACUGGGCGUAAAGCGUGCGCAGGCGGUUUGCUAAGACCGAUGUGAAAUCCCCGGGCUCAACCUGGGAACUGCAUUGGUGACUGGCAGGCUAGAGUAUGGCAGAGGGGGGUAGAAUUCCACGUGUAGCAGUGAAAUGCGUAGAGAUGUGGAGGAAUACCGAUGGCGAAGGCAGCCCCCUGGGCCAAUACUGACGCUCAUGCACGAAAGCGUGGGGAGCAAACAGGAUUAGAUACCCUGGUAGUCCACGCCCUAAACGAUGUCAACUAGUUGUUGGGGAUUCAUUUCCUUAGUAACGUAGCUAACGCGUGAAGUUGACCGCCUGGGGAGUACGGUCGCAAGAUUAAAACUCAAAGGAAUUGACGGGGACCCGCACAAGCGGUGGAUGAUGUGGAUUAAUUCGAUGCAACGCGAAAAACCUUACCUACCCUUGACAUGGUCGGAAUCCUGCUGAGAGGUGGGAGUGCUCGAAAGAGAACCGGCGCACAGGUGCUGCAUGGCUGUCGUCAGCUCGUGUCGUGAGAUGUUGGGUUAAGUCCCGCAACGAGCGCAACCCUUGUCCUUAGUUGCUACGCAAGAGCACUCUAAGGAGACUGCCGGUGACAAACCGGAGGAAGGUGGGGAUGACGUCAAGUCCUCAUGGCCCUUAUGGGUAGGGCUUCACACGUCAUACAAUGGUCGGAACAGAGGGUUGCCAACCCGCGAGGGGGAGCUAAUCCCAGAAAACCGAUCGUAGUCCGGAUUGCACUCUGCAACUCGAGUGCAUGAAGCUGGAAUCGCUAGUAAUCGCGGAUCAGCAUGCCGCGG